CUUUCGCAGCCGGCCGGCAACGUCUCCUGCGCCGAUCGGCUUUCGCUCCGGUUAACUUUCGGGUCCCGAAACUUUCGUCUAUGCCUGACGCCCCUCGGCGAGGUUUCCCUUGCUCCGAGUCCAUCUAUAAAAAGAAGAAAAUAGGAAGAUCGGCGAGGCCAGCCAUGGGCCGGCCCGCCAAUCAGGACGCGCGCGGGCGUUUUGAACCCUUAGCGGUACGCUGCGCUCCUCCGGUUGGGAACAGCGCGCAGAGAAGAGCCGCUGCGUGUACCCGGGACCAGGGCCUGCACGCCGCGGCGGACCGGUGACAAGUCAGGUGGAGAAGCUCAAGUCUUGAACUCUGCUUGGUUUCCCAGGUACAGGCUAGACCCCACCCACGAUGAUCACUGAAUCACCAGGUGCUGAGGCCUCUUUCUGUUGUCAAGAGCCAGAGACAACUGAAAGAGCCAGAGACAAUUGAAAAGAAAGGUAACAUCACACACACAAAAGUAGAUGAUAAGAAUUUAAGAUCUCUGGACGUGUGCCUGUACUCACCUACUUGAGAGAUCUUGGAUGUGAGUCAUGGAAAUGAACCUGAACUGAGAGUUGCUUUCCAAAGACUAUCUCACCACUGGGAUUCAGGCUGAACAAAGGAGUUAGAUUCAAAACAGGGAUUCUCUGUAUAGCCCUGCUGUCCUGGAACUCAUGCUGCAGAUGAGGCUGACCCUUGAAGUGAGAGAGCUGCUUGCCCCUGCCUUCUUACUGCUGAGAUUAAAGGUCUGUGUAUCAUUUUUGAGAUAAACUCAGUGUAAACUAUAAGGCAAAGACAUGUUCGAAUUUAAUCUACAUAUAACACCCAGCAUGGAGAGAAUCAGAAACCAAGAGCAUGGUGUACUCAGUCUAACCCACAGGUUAUGGGCCAGAGCUUCAUAAUGAAAUAGUGAAAUGAGAAUGUAUGUUUUUUAUCAAGGAGUUCAUUGUCCUUUCUGGAGGCAGGGCUGACACAGCGACCUCCUCAUGUGGAAUCACCCGGAACCAUUUCUGUUCCAGCUCUUCUGUUUUUUGGCAAGUGCAUGUGAGUUUCUGGAUGACUUAUACUGAUUUUAGAUCAAGCAUGAGACUCAGAAUAGUUACUGGGUGACAUAAAAUGACAGAAACACCUUUGUACUGAGCGGAACUUCUGUGUUGGUGAAAUGAUAAAUAUAAAUGCAAACGAAAACUAA
rnacentral:lncRNA from 1 species